rnacentral:rRNA from 1 species
CGGGACGGGUGAGUAACGCGUGGGUAACCUGCCUUGUACAGGGGGAUAACGGUUGGAAACGGCUGCUAAUACCGCAUAAGCGCACGGCAUCGCAUGAUGCAGUGUGAAAAACUCCGGUGGUAUAAGAUGGACCCGCGUUGGAUUAGCUAGUUGGUGAGGUAACGGCCCACCAAGGCGACGAUCCAUAGCCGACCUGAGAGGGUGACCGGCCACAUUGGGACUGAGACACGGCCCAA